rnacentral:ncRNA from 1 species
UUUAGGGUGUCCCUUCGCGGACUCAAUAGGGAACCGGGUGUGAAUCCCGGACAGUUCCCGCUGCUGUGAUGGCCAAUCGCCUGCCACUGUGCCACUGUCGCGACGCUCGUCGGACGGGAAGGCGGCAAAAGCGAGGCCUCAGUCAGAAGACCUGCCUCAAAU